CCUACGGGAGGCAGCAGUGGGGAAUAUUGCACAAUGGGGGAAACCCUGAUGCAGCAACGCCGCGUGAGUGAAGAAGUAUUUCGGUAUGUAAAGCUCUAUCAGCAGGGAAGAAGAUGACGGUACCUGACCAAGAAGCCCCGGCUAACUACGUGCCAGCAGCCGCGGUAAUACGUAGGGGGCAAGCGUUAUCCGGAUUUACUGGGUGUAAAGGGAGCGCAGACGGCAGUGCAAGUCUGGAGUGAAAGCCCGGGGCCCAACCCCGGAACUGCUCUGGAAACUGAGUAGCUAGAGUGCAGGAGAGGUAAGCGGAAUUCCUAGUGUAGCGGUGAAAUGCGUAGAUAUUAGGAGGAACACCAGUGGCGAAGGCGGCUUACUGGACUGUAACUGACGUUGAGGCUCGAAAGCGUGGGGAGCAAACAGGAUUAGAUACCCCUGUAGUC
rnacentral:rRNA from 1 species